ACAAGAAAAACAUCCUGUUCCUGUAGUUUGGCGGCUAAUCUAGCUAGUUAGAUAAAAACAACACAGAUGAUUUGUUUAUAUAACCGUUACCAUCUUUACGUUUACGAAACCGAAUGCUUAUUACGAGCUACUCCGAAUUCUAAAUACAAAAAAAUAUUACCGGUGAUGGAGUGGAGACUGAGGCUGCUAGACUUUUAAGAUGCACCCAGGGGAGGUUGCGCACCCCCAAAUCGGCCACAUGACAAAUAUUACUGUGGACAUCCCUCCCAACAUAAUUUCAACGGUCUAUGGGGCACCCAAUACAUUGCAACUCUAAAGUUUGGCAGGGGCCCUGGCCCAAUGCAUCUCUGUGCAAGAGGAGUCACUGCAGUACCUGGUUUGAAUCCAGGCUGCAUUCAAUCACCGGCUGUGAUUGUGAGUCCAAUAGGGUGGUGCACAAUUGGCAGUCUUGUAAAUAAGAAUUUGUUCUUAACUGACUUGCCUGGUUAAAUAAAAAAUCAAGGCAUUUUAGCAGUUGACUGCAGCAAGAUGAUGAUAAACUAAGUCCAUGUGAGAUGAUGACAGAACUGUAUGGGAAUCAUUAUUACAGAUGACUAUCUAGAGGGACAAUCCCUCAGAGUCUCCACAUGAGACCUUGAUGGAGAAAGUGAGAAAAAUCACCAAAAAGUUGCAGAUGGACCAUAAGAAGAUUGCAAGUUCAUCUGCCUCAUCUAGAUAUGUGUGCAAUGCUUGAUAGUGUGUACGAUGUUAACAGAUAGGUAUUUUCUUCUGGGUGCUCUGAAGGGGAAGCUGUCCUCAAGGGGAAGCUGUCCUCAAGGGGAAGCUUCUAACUGUGGCUAAUGCCUGUAAUAUGACUCAGGGUUAUUACUCAACCAACUAGAGUGCAUACCAAUAGUGUUGGAUCUGUGACAUCCACUUGUAUUGAUCAUAUCUUCAAUAAUGCUGCAUGGCUAUGCUCCAAAACAAUAUCAGUUCCCAUUGGCUGUAGUGACCAUAACAUUGUGGCAAUAACAAGGAAAGCCAAAGGUUGGGCCUAAAGUAAUUUAUAAGAUAUCACACAAAGUGUUUUCUCAGGACUAUUUUGUUGAAUAUGUAAAAAAAAUGUAUGUUGGUCUGAUGUGUAUGAAGAAGUGAAUCCAGAUGCAGCACUGGAAGUUAUUCAUGCCAAUUGUUGCCAAGCAUGCACCUGUUAAGGAAUUAACUGUGAGAACUGUUGGAGCCCUCUGGAUGGAUGAUGAAUUGAAAAUUUGUAUAGUUCAAAGAAAUGGUGUAAAAGAGGGGGCAAACAAGUCAGGCUGGUCAGCUGAUUCGUUGACAUACUGUAAAUUGGGAAAUGUACAAAAAGAAGAAACUACCAAAUCAAGAUAAAUUACAUAAAACACAGUGGAAAAAGACUUUGGAGUACCUUAAAUUACAUGGGCAGAAUACCCAAUUAAUCUUCCUCAUUCAUUGAAGUUGAUGGGUAAUUUAUAACAAAACCUUUUGAUAUUGGCAAUCAUUUCAAUGACUGUUUCACUAGUAAAGUGGAAAAACUCAGAAGUGAAAUUAAAACAUUGGUCAGUGAACCAUCAUUUUUGUAUAAAAUGUAUAAUAAUGAAAGAGAUGAAUGGCUGUUUUGAAUUUGGUCAAAUUAGUGUGGGAGUUGGAAAAAACUAUUGUUGUCAUCAAUAAUGAUAAGCCAACAGGUAUAGAAAACCUUGAUGAGAAAAUAUUGAGAAUGGUAGCAGACUGUAUUGCCACCCCUAUUUGCUAUAUCUUUAACCAAAGCCUAAAAUAGGGUGUCCACAGGCGUAGAAGGAAGCUAAAGUAAUUCCACAACCUAAAAAUAGUAAAACAGCCUUUUUUGACUCUAAUAGCUGCCCAAUAGCUGCCCAAUCAGUUUCGCUGCCUGCUCUUAGUAAACUGAUGGAGCGAAUUGUGUUUGACCAAAUACAAUGCUAUUUUUCAGAGAACAAGUUAACUGCUGACAUUCAGCAUGCAUAGAGAAGGGCACUCAACUUGUGCUGCACUGACUCAGAUGACAGAUGAUUGCUUAAGAUAAAUGGAUAAUAUGAUAGUUGGAGCUGUAUUAUUUUCAGUGCAGCCUUUGAGUUUCUUCAAUAACUAUUUAUGAUCAAUAACAUCACUUGCUUUGGCUUUACAUCACCUGAAAUCACAUGGUUGGAGAGUUAUUUAUCCAAUAGAACCAAGGGAGUGUUCUUCAAUGGAAGCUUCUCUAGCAUCACAGUACAGUGUCCCUUAGGGCAGUUGCAUUGAGCCAUUACUCUUCCCUAUUUAAAAAAUUAUUUGCAACUGGUCUUACACAUGUAUGUCUGUUAUGAAAAGAUGUUAGAUGUUCUGCGUUUUUUCCUCAAAAAUCAACUGUACUAGUUGUUCAGACUCUGGUCUUGUCCCAUCUUGAUUAGUGUCUGGUAAUAUGGUCAAGUGCAGCAAAGAAAGACCUAUUAAAGGCACAGCUGGCUCAAAACAGAGCAAUACGCCAAAUCCAGAUUGUCUGCAUAAUCAAAUAACAUUCAGCUCAGACACCCAUACAUAUCCACAACACAUGCCACCAGGGGUCUCUUCACAGUCCCCAAAUCCAAAACGAAUUCACGACCAUAUUCACAGUAUUGCACAGAGCCAGGACUGCAUGGAACUCCCUUCCAUUCUCCAAUUACUCAAGCUAACAGCAAAAUUACCUUUUAAAAAGGGAAUAAACAACAUGUCAUGGAUCGGCGUUGACAAACACAUGCACACACAAAUUAUUUGUUUUACUUGUAUUGUUUGAAUUAUUAUAAUUGUCUUGUUUAUAUAUCGUUGUGUUUAAAAUGUGUGCGACUGUCUAUCAGUGUACCAGUGUUUUGUUACUUCUCAUGUUUUGUGUUUUUUUGGACCCCAUGGAAUAGUUUCUACCUCAGCAAAAGCUAAUGGGGAAACAAAUA